AGGCAGUUAUUUAAUUAAAAUGUUUGAUUUCGGCUCAAAAGCCUGUGGUUAAAGUCCAUAACUGCCUA